CAGCAUUCUGUAGCAAUACAGGAUGUGGGCGCGUGGCGAACGGGUGCGUAACACGUGGAUAACCUUCCUUCAGGUGGGGAAUAACCCAGUGAAAAUUGGGCUAAUACCGCAUAACAUGACGAGGGCACAUGCUCUUGUCUUCAAAGCCGCAAGGCGCCAGAAGAGGGAUCCGCGGCCGAUUAGCUUGUUGGCGAGGUAAUGGCUCACCAAGGCUUUGAUCGGUAGCCGGACUGAGAGGUUGGCCGGCCACACUGGAACUGAGACACGGUCCAGACUCCUACGGGAGGCAGCAGUGGGGAAUCUUGCGCAAUGGACGAAAGUCUGACGCAGCAACGCCGCGUGGGGGAUGAAGCUUCUCGGA
rnacentral:rRNA from 1 species